CUGGCCAUUUCAUGGUGAGCGUGGACAUUUGAUCAUAGCUCUGUCCCACCCAGUGACCAUCAGCCACGUGACACUGGGUCACAUUUCAAAGACCGUGUCGCCAACUGGCAGCAUCUCGAGCGCCCCAGAGAUGUUUGCUGUCUAUGGCAUGAAGACUGAAGAGGAUGAAGGUACCCUACUAGGGACCUUUCUUUAUGAUCAGGACGGCGAGUCAGUGCAGACUUUCAAACUGUCUGAUCAGGAAGAAGGUGUCUUCAGCCAUGUGAAGCUGCAGGUCGAGAGCAACUGGGGAAAUCCUGACUACACUUGCGUGUACAACUUCAGGGUCCAUGGGACCAUAUAGAAGACAGUGUUUGCUUAUAUAUGGGACUAUGUUGGAACAAACACCGUCUUCUUGGCUGGGUGCAAAGGCAGGUGAGAAUGUAUUUGUUCCAACAACCAACCAUCUGUGAAUAGAUGGGCUUAAUUUAACUUUGUGUUGUGGAAUUUGCAGUCAUAAAAAUAUUAGCAAAUGGCUGGCUGGAACACCUGUGCUGGUGUAGACACAGGGUGGGUGGGUGGGUGCUGGGGAGAGGUAUGGUGUUCCGUGAGUGUUCGCCAUACUUCUUCCCAGCGAACCUCCUCCCUGCCAGGUGAAGGAAACUGCUGGGGAGAGGUAUGGUGUUCCGUGAGUGUUCACCAUACUUCCUCCCAGCAAACCUCCUCCCUGCCAGGUGAAAGGAAACUGCUUGAGGCUCCAUGUUGAUCGGAAGAGAUACAUGGCUGUCUACAAUGCAGUGUGAGGGGGAAUUGGCUAUUUGCUGGUAUUUUCUGUCACUCCAAAUU